rnacentral:tRNA from 2 species
GGGCGCUUGGCUCAGGUGGUUAGAGCGCAGCCUUCACACGGCUGAGGUCGGGGGUUCGAGUCCCUCAGCGCCCACCA